AUGGCGGGCGUUGGGCGUAACAUGGUGGCGCCGCUGCUGGUGCUGAACCUCAUCAUGUACAUCAUCGUCAUAGGGUUCGCGAGCUGGAACCUCAACCACUUCAUCAACGGCCUCACCAACCGCCCCGGCGUCGGCGGCAACGGCGCCACCUUCUACUUCCUCGUCUUCGCCAUCCUCGCCGGGGUCGUGGGCGCCGCAUCCAAGCUCGCCGGCGUGCACCACGUCCGCACCUGGCGCGGCGACAGCCUCGCCACCUCCGCGUCCUCCUCGCUGGUGGCCUGGGCGAUCACCGCCUUGGCGUUCGGGCUGGCGUGCAAGGAGAUCCACAUCGGCGGGUACCGAGGGUGGCGCCUCCGGGUGCUGGAGGCGUUCGUGAUUGUUCUCAUGUUCACGCAGCUGCUGUACGUGCUGGCGCUGCACUCGGGCCUCUUCGGGAACCAGUUCGGUGGUAACCAUGGUGGUGGGUAUCCGGCGGAGCACGCGUACGGCGCAGGCGUCGGCGACCCGCACAACAAGGGCAUGGGCAUGGGCACCGGCGGGGUCGCCAGGGUCUGA
rnacentral:rRNA from 1 species